rnacentral:rRNA from 1 species
UACGGGGGGAGCGAGCGUUAUUCGUCAUGACUGGGCGUAAAGGUGAUCUGUAGGUGGUUUUGAAAAGGUUUGCUUGUAAAGCCUUUUGGGUAGUCAUUGGGAGUAUGGCGAUUAUCUUUUUUUGACUUAGAGUAUACUGGAUGAUUAAAGCAGUACCUUCAGAGGAGAGGUGGAAUUCGGAGAUACUGAUAGGGACUCGCAUUUGGUGAAAACGGCAUUCAUCGGUAUUACUGACGCUUGAGGGAUGAAAGCAUGGGGAGCAAACAGG